rnacentral:sRNA from 1 species
CUAUAUAUAUCCUGUUAGUUCAACAAUAGCAACAUAAAGACGAGAGUUGUCAUUGUUAGAAAGAAAAGCAUUCGUUGAGUAUACAGAGGGUGUAUCAAUGGUUCAGAGAUUGCUAAACAAACAGAGCAUCCACUACCAACUGUGUAUGGAGUUUUGAGACGUUUGAAAGACCGAGGAAGUGUAAAAAACCAAUGUAGAAGUGGAAGGCCAUAUUUGUUGUCAUUGAGGGAUACUCGGAAACCUGGAUAUGUCGUAAAAGCAAACAGAAAACAUCUCCUUUAUAAUAUGUGCAAUAUUUUUUGAGUUUAGACCUCAAACUAUGUCAAAACGAAAAACCCAUAUAAAAAUAUACGAGGAAAAGUUCCACAAGUGUGUUGUGCGAAAAAGUGAAAAAGGCGACUUGCAUGACGUAGAGUGAACAGACAAAAAAUAGUAAAUGAGCACUGGAGUAGAGUUAUAUUUAGUGUAAGGUGGAAGUGGGUGUGGACAAACGUGUUUUAGUUUGGAGACGACCAGGAGAAGAAUGAACACCCCGUUUGUUUCAGUCCCAGUCACGGAGCACGCAUGAGUUUAAUGAUAUGGGGGUGUAUUACGUACGAAGGUCUGGGAACCAUAACAAUUGUCAAUGCUCCAAAAUAUUUAGAUAUAAUUGAAAACAACGUCUGGCCAAUUAUUGCUCGUCAUUUCCCAAAUAACGACUACAUAUACCAAGAUGACAGAUUAAUUGUAUGGAAUUUGGCACGCGUCAGUAAUAUUUCAAAUAGUAUAAGCGAACCUAUGGAAUUUGUAAAACUUAAUGUUUAGACUGUUCAUAUACUGAUAAUUUGCUUCUUCAUGUAGUUGCGUUUUUGUUUUGUUUCAAUUUUCAUACCACGUAGCGAUAAAUCAGAAGAAUCUAAUAAAAUUUCAAUAAAAUUAACAUAAGC